rnacentral:sRNA from 1 species
UAUUCUGCCCCAUGGGGAAGGAUGAGAAGCUUCGACUAAGGUUCGACUCGAGCGUAGCGAGAGAACGUUGCCGCAGGCAACGGCCCGAAGGGCGAGGCGCUUUAGCGCCGAGUCAUCCUUCCCCCACUACUG